UCUCGUGUCCCCUGUCCCCUCUCAUCCUCGCUCCCCCUCUAGGGUCUCCGUUGACUUACCCGCGGGCCGGGACACUCCACAGUUGAGAAGAAUAGUGUGAGCUACCCAAUGACCAAAAACCUGGAAGCAGAGUCACACAUAAUUCAGUAUGAUUCAGCCCACUGAGCCACUCUCCACAGGAAGUAUAAAUAGAGCACAGAAGCUCUGAAAUGGAUUUUAACCACAGAGCCAGAGGAAAUUCUCAAAAGAUCUAUUAUCUUGGUGAUAAGUUCCUCAAGUGGAGCUGGGUCCACAGCUGCCAUUCAAGAGGAAACUGCAGUUUAUAUCAGCAAGUUAUGUGUUUCCUAACAUGCUGCCCAUGUCAUUCUAGCCCCAGUGCCCAUUCAGCAUCAGCCACCAUCAUAAGCCAACAUACCAAGACUAAUAUAAAAAGACACUUAUUGAAGUAUCAGUAAGGAGGACUUCUGGGAAGAUGGCAGCAUGGUAAGCAGCAGAUGGGGGGCCUCUCUGAGGUUUUGUGUCCAGGCACUGGCAUAUAGCAACGUGAGGAAGAGAAGGAGGAAAAUGGGUCCCCAGGACCCAGGAAGGAUCUGAAGCAAGAAUUUAGGCCCAUGGGGAGAGCCAAGAGAGUGAGUCUUCCAAAGAAGGAGGUAAAAGGUGUCACCUCCUACCUAAGCCUGAACUCACUGCGUGGGAAAGACAGCUCAAACUUGCCCAUGAACUGUGACUACUGGUGAUCCUGGCGACCCCAGAGACCUACAUGGAUUAAUGCAUCAGUGGAGCAGAGUGGUGGACUCAGUGGCCUGCAGUGGUUGGGGGUGCCUUCAAGUCUUCCGGACAAACAUGCCUGCCCUCCUGCAGACCCAGGAUUCUAUUCUGCCUCACACAUCCCCAACACAACUGCCAGCUGAGUUCUAAUUGCAGAAUCUUCAUUACCAGGGACGAUUGAAACUAUAAAAAGAAACCAGCUGAAUUUUUCACAUCCUGCUGGGUGAGCACAAGGCCUGGCUUUCCUGUUCCUGCCCUCCUCCUUCCCCCAGCAAUUAUCCCUUCUACAUGUGUGAUCUGGCUUCUGCCAGAAGCUCUGAGCAAUUGAUAGAUGUUAUCUCCCUUCUCCUCCAACCUCCCUCCCCAGGAGGUAGGAUGGUGACCAUGACAAAUAUGUCUGACCUUCCUCUACAGCCUCAGAAACAGGAGGUUCAUUCAUUUCUUAACUUCUUUACCUAAGUUUCUUGUUCAAAGUCACCUAGUGGUGAGUGACCAUCGAUAACAGACAUUUCUCCUAACCUCAGGCUACAAAUUUGUCUUUUUCUGUUACGUUUGUUCCAUCAGUGAGUAUUUAUAAAGUACCUGCUGAGUAAUCAGGAUUGAGUUAAUUAUGGUGAAGGGGAAUAUCCAGAAGCAAAAGGAUACCAAGCAAUUAAAAAUCCAGUUGGAAGGCAAAAUUAGAUAGGACACCUCCUCGUUUUGUAGCUAAUAACUUUUUGAGAAUCAAGGGAGUGAUUUUUGCAAAUUUUAUAUAAAAUUUAUCCAAACUUUUUUCAAUCUAUGUGGGGGGGGCUUGUCUUGAUAUCAAGAAAAAGAAAUGUCUGGAAGAGUGUACAUCAGAAAGUUAAAGAAAACUAUCUGAGGCACUAUGUAAAAGAUAAUAGAGAAACUGGUCCUUGAAAACACAAUGAAACUGUCUGGGUUUGAAUCCCAGUUUUACCACUGACUAUGCUCCCUUGUCACUGCUAUAUUGGACUCUCUGAGUUUCUAUUUUCCUAUUUAUAAAAUGGGAUGGUAAUUGAAGUAUCUUAUUGAGUUAUUGUGAGGAUUAAAUAGUAACGAAUAUUGCACAUGCAAGUGCUCAAUAAAUAUAACUCUCUAAUGAUGAAAUAUUGGAGGAGGAGAGCCAUGGGAAAAGAAGUCUUGGAGAAGGUGAGACAUAAAAUGGUCCUGGAUGAAUGGAAGAUUGGGAUAGUCAGACAGGAAGGCUCGGAGCAUUUGGGAUUAGGAAAACUUCUUGAUGGAAGGCAGAGACAGAAGUCUCAGCUGUUCUCCAAGAGAGAAGUUUGUGUGUGAAAUGAGAAAUAGAGUUGUUUAAGAAGGGGAAAUAUAGUAAGGGGCCUCAAAGAAAGCAGUCAGCUUCACAUAUACAAAGCCUCUCAUCAUUAACACUCCCACCAGAGUAGUACAUUUGUUCAGUCAGUGGUUGAUACAUCAUUAUCACCUAGGAUCUGUAGUCUACAUUAGAAUUCAUUCUUGUUUUUGUGCAUUACAUGGGCCUAGACAAAUGUAUAAUGAUUGGUGGUUGGAUGUUUUGAAAAAAUUUUUUGCUUCUGCCCAACAAAAAGAGACACAGCCGUGAAGAUAAUGAAUCAAAUAAACCAACACAAUCUCUGGCAGAUAACAUCUUCAACAAGAUCAUGUUACAAAGGUAUUCCCAUGAACUUCAAAACAUCAAAUAAUGGGGUCAACCAAGUAAAUUUACCUUACUGGUGUCAACAACUAUCCAGAUGGAAGCAGAGGGAAGACAAAAAAUAUAGGACAGUUUUGGGGGGCUAGGAAAUUCAUUGAUACUCAUAAAUACCCAGCCUUAAAAGGAGAACAUUCAUCAAAGGCAACAAAUUGAACAGACCCAGCUGAGAUUGCAAGGCUCCAAAUGAUGGUUUUUAGUUGACAAGAGGUCAACUCUCCUGCCACAGGAAAAGUCAAAACAGAAGAAAAUUUUUAAAAUGACUUUGUCCGUAGAAAACUGCCUGCAUGGAUCAUUGCCCAUUCCACCAUUACUGAGAAAGAGGAAAAUUGAAUUCAAGGCCAGCAGAGGGGCCAUAUAUUAACAUUAUGCGAUUCUGGAAGGCUGCUGUGAGGACGAAUGAGUGGAUAAUAGCAAAAUCAAAGAAAUAUCUGGAUGUCCCUUCCUCCUGCCUUCCUGUCAAGCAAGUAAAAUGCCUAAAAAAUAACUUAAGCCAGUGUCUAGGACAAAAGUAUGAGGAUAUUUACAGUGUUGGGAGAAGGCUGCUUUCUGAAGAGAAAGCAAUCAGGAUGGUCAAACCAGGCACUGAUCCACAGAGUCUCUACCCUCGAAUGCCAUCCCCAUCCUCAUUCCUUAAAAUCAGCAGCAAUGACACAAAUAGGAGUCUGAAUUUAGACUUCUUCCCUCUAAGCCUAAUAUCUGCAAAAUAGCUGCCGCCUACAAGGGAAAAUGGAAUAACAGCACAUACAGACACAGACACACACACAAAUACAACCAGACAACUGAGGAGUGUGACCACUAAUUAAAGUAAGGUAAUAAACUUAACUGUCCGUACUACACAGGACAGCUUUUAAAAAAUUGAAAUAAUCAUGACAUAUAAUAUCACAGAGAGAUAAGAUACUGUUAACAUUGAGUGAAUACCAUAACUUUUUAAAAGUUUUAAAUAAAAAUAAUAAUAACAGUUUAAUUAAGGAACUUAAUUGAAGAGAGAAAUAACAGAAUGAAUACAAAUUUGAAUUUGUGAACCACAGAUAGGUUUGAGGAACUAUCUCACAAGGUAUCAAAAAGAAAUAAAGUGAAGAAAAAUAGAGUAGUAAAAUAGAGUAGCAAAAUAGUGUAGGAAUGAAAGAAAAAAGGUAACAGAGGAAGACUGAUCACACCUCUCACAGUGCACAAUUGGCCCCCUUUUACAUUGAUGCAGAGCUUGACCCUUCUUCUUACUUUGACCAAUGGGCUAGCAAUAAACAUGAUGCAAGCAAAACAUAUGUUAAGAAUUUGUGUCUUAGGGGUAAGAUGAGAUAAAUAUGCUUACUUUGACAAAUGGGACAUCAGAGAAAUUGAAGCAAACACGGACUUAGUAAGGACUUGUGCUAAACACUGCCCUCUUCCCAUGAGGAAGCCUAGGCCAGCCUCCUUGAGGAUCAAAGACAACAUCAACAGACCCAGUCAUCCCAGAUAUCCAGAUGAGCUCGGAUUCCUGGAUUCUAAAACCUAAAAGCUGCCUUAUGAUUAUGCCCCCGUGAAAUCAAUAGAAUCAUCUAGCCAACCACAGAAUCAUAAGGAAUUAUUGUUUUAAGCCACAGAGUUUUGAAAAAAUUUAUUAUACAUGCAACAAUAAAAAAAUUCACGUGGGAGAUGAGAUACUAUCCUAAAUAAUAACCUAAAGUCUCUAGACUAAAAGAUGUUUGACUGAAAUAAAAAACAUUUAAAUGGAAAGGCUAAUACAAUUGCCAAAAAAAAAAGAAAUUCAUCUGAGAUUUGUAGUAUGAUGUAAAAACUUCAAAUUCCAAAAGACAAUUCUAAAUCAUACAGAAAGAAAUGUGACUUGAAAAGUAACAUGAAUAAGUUUUAUCAAAGUUCUUAAUCAUGACACUAAAACUAAGAAACCAAUGAAGCAUUAUUUUCAAAGUAAAAAAUAAAAGGACUUCUAAUCUACAGCCAAAUCAUCUUAUGUGAGGAAUCAAUAAGGAUAUUUUUGGAUAAGCAUGCCCAUAGUGACUUUAAUAUAGGACAUUAGGGCAUGGCAAAGCUGGUUGGGGAAGUAGGCAUGACUUGUUAAUUACAAAAUCCCAGAACACAUGUGCUGAACAGUUCCCAAAGCCCAGCAUGUGGACUUCUAGCAAGAACUGAGCAGGUUUUCCACAGGAUGGCCUGGACCUGAUAUUCGCCUGAAGUGUGAGAUCCCAGCACCAUUUCUCAGGACCCAAAUAUAGAAGUUCUCAUGAGUUUCCUUGAGAUUUGAACAGUAUAAAAGGGCAUAAAUGCCAAAAAGAACUUCCUAUCAUGGUUUUCCUCAUGACAGCCUCCCCUGCUUUCUCCAGGAUGUAUUUUUAAUCUUGCGUUUUCCUCUUUUAUUUGACCCAAGCUCACUCUGCAGAGCCAGUUUC